rnacentral:rRNA from 1 species
UACGAAGGGGGCUAGCGUUGCUCGGAAUGACUGGGCGUAAAGGGCGCGUAGGCGGAUGGCACAGUCAGAUGUGAAAUUCCCGGGCUUAACCUGGGGGCUGCAUUUGAUACGUGUGAUCUAGAGUGAGGAAGAGGAGAGUGGAAUUCCUGGUGUAGCGGUGAAAUGCGCAGAUAUCAGGAAGAACACCCGUGGCGAAGGCGGCUCUCUGGGGCGGUACUGACGUGAGACGCGAAAGCGUGGGGAGCGAACAGG